rnacentral:rRNA from 1 species
UACGUUCCUAACAGAAGAAGCACCGGCUAACUCCGUGCCAGCAGCCGCGGUAAUACGGAGGGUGCGAGCGUUAAUCGGAAUUACUGGGCGUAAAGCGCAUGCAGGUGGUUUGUUAAGUCAGAUGUGAAAGCCCGGGGCGUCAACCUCGGAAUAGCAUUUGAAACUGGCAGACUAGAGUACUGUAGAGGGGGGUAGGAAUUUCAGGUGUAGCGGUGAAAUAGCGUAGAGAUCUGAAGGAAUACCGGUGGCGAAGGCGGCCCCCUCGGACAGAUACUGACACUCAGAUGCGAAAGCGUGGGGAGCAAACAGGAUUAGAUACCCUGGUAG